rnacentral:lncRNA from 1 species
AGGAGGUCUGGAGCCUGAGAAUUUGCUUUUCUAACAAGUUCCUGGUGUGAUGUGGUUUGGCUCUUCUCACUUUCCUUCUGCUGCCUUGUGAAGAAAGUGCCUGCUUCUCCUUUGCCUUCCACCAUAAUUGUACUUUGGAAGAGCUAGAAUCCUUAGCCACUUCAGGAAAUGACAUAGGAAAUCUUUCGAGGUACAGGCUUUUCCAAAAUGUGAGGCAUAUGGAAAAUUCAGGCAACACCCUGUUACUUAUUCAUCACUUAAGCCAUGUUUUGGCUCAGAAGAUACCAAGCAAAGCUGAAUAUUACUGUAUUUCAGAAAGAGGAGUAUUUCUUCAGUGCUCAUCUGUCCAUGGUGGCAUCAUGGAAGCUUAAAGUUUGAGAAGCCUACUCUGACAGCCCACGGACUUUCCUCACCCCGACUCCAUCUAUAAUUACCACACUUCGGUCCAACUGCAGCUGCUCUGUGUGGCAUCAUGUUCUACAGGUAAUCUGAAAACUAAAAUCAUGAAAGAAAAGUAGG